rnacentral:rRNA from 1 species
UGGGGAAUAUUGCACAAUGGAGGGAACUCUGAUGCAGCGACGCCGCGUGAGUGAUGAAGGAAUUCGUUUCGUAAAACUCUGUUCUAUGGGAAGAAAAGGACUGUACCAUAGGAGAAAGCUCCGGCUAAAUACGUGCCAGCAGCCGCGGUAAUACGUAUGGAGCGAGCGUUGUCCGGAAUUAUUGGGCGUAAAGGGUGCGCAGGCGGCUUUACAAGUUGGAUGUGAAAUAUUGUGGCUCAACCACAAACGUGCAUCCAAAACUGCAAAGCUUGAGUUAAUGAGAGGUAAGUGGAAUUCCUGGUGUAGCGGUGGAAUGCGUAGAUAUCAGGAGGAAUACCGGUGGCGAAGGCGACUUACUGGACUUAAACUGACGCUCAGGCACGAAAGCGUGGGGAGCAAACAGG